rnacentral:rRNA from 1 species
UACGUAGGGUGCGAGCGUUGUUCGGAAUUACUGGGCGUAAAGGGCGCGUAGGCGGGUUUGUAAGUCGAUUGUGAAAUCCCUGGGCUUAACCUGGGAACUGCAGUCGAAACUGCAAAUCUUGGAUACCUGAGAGGAUGGCGGAAUUCCCGGUGUAGAAGUGAAAUUCGUAGAUAUCGGAAGAACACCUGAGGCGAAGGCGGCUGUCUGGCGGUGUAUCGACGCUGAGGCGCGAAAGCGUGGGGAGCAAACGGAUUAAGAUACCCAGUA